AACGUAGGAGACGAGCGUUAUCCGGAUUUACUGGGCGUAAAGCGCGUGCAGGCGGUUUAUUAAGUCACUUGUGAAAGCGCCCGGCUCAACUGGGCGAGGCCGUGUGAGACUGAUAGACUUGAGAGAGGUAGAGGCGAAUGGAAUUCCGGGAGGAGUGGUGAAAUGCGUAGAGAUCCGGAGGAACACCAGUGGCGAAGGCGAUUCGCUGGGCCUUCUCUGACGCUCAGACGCGACAGCAUGGGGAGCGAACGGG
rnacentral:rRNA from 1 species